rnacentral:rRNA from 1 species
AAGCGCCGAUGGAGGGGGAUAACUACUGGAAACGGUAGCUAAUACCGCAUAACGUCGCAAGACCAAAGAGGGGGACCUUCGGGCCUCUUGCCAUCGGAUGUGCCCAGAUGGGAUUAGCUAGUAGGUGGGGUAACGGCUCACCUAGGCGACGAUCCCUAGCUGGUCUGAGAGGAUGACCAGCCACACUGGAACUGAGACACGGUCCAG